CUCAAGAACCAUGAGAUCAUGACUUGAGCCAUAAUCAAGAGUCCAUUGCUUACUGACUGGGCCACCCGGGUGCCCAUUGUUGUCCUUUUUUAGUUCCUUCUUCGAUAAUAUAGGUGAUUCCACUUAUUCCCAUGCUAGAAGACUAUUUAGCAACAUCCAGUAAAAAAACAAAACAACAACAACAACAAAAAACAAAUUCCUCAAAGGAUAAUAUUGACUUCAAAACCUAGUUACAAGUGCUGUAGUAAUUAUCUACCUCAAGUUGGAAUUUCUCUUCCUGUUCAAAAGUACGGUUGACCUUUUCACCAGCAGCCUUGCUAACAAAAGGGAUAAAGUUGAUGCCAACUUCUUCCUUAAUACACUCAGCAAAUUCCUUUAAACAGUGGAGCACCGUUGAAAACCUUGUAGCUCUUCUUUCACUUUGCAUAAUCCUCUUACCAAACUGAUUGAAGACAAUGACCAAGAAAUAGGGAGCUUUUACAGAAUAAGUUACACUAGUUCCCCCUUCUCUGGGAUUUGGCUUUUCCGCAGUUCCAGCUCUAGGCAGUCAACCCCGAUCAGAAGCAGGGGCAUCAGAAGGUCAAUCCGUAGCCUGACGCCACGUCAGUGAAGUCACAAAGUCUGCGACACGCCCCUCACUUAUCCCAUUCGGUGACGUCACAAAGUCUGCGACACGCCCCUUCCGUGAUCCCUCACACAGGCAUUUUAUCAUCUCACAUCAUCACAGGAGGGAAUUUGAAGAUUGAAUUUGGUAGUCUUCUGACCACGUUGCUGCCAUCCAUCACUCACAAAUCAACUCAUCAUGACCUGUAACCAGGAACGGAGAGUUGCAAACUUGCCAACUAGCAAAGAAUUGAACUCAGUUGAACUCUGAUGCAGAAAAGCCAAACCUGCAGGAGAGGCCAUAAGAGAUGGUUGAGAGGUUUGUGGAGUAUGGUUUGCCGCUAGUAUUGCCAUGUCAGUGAUGUUUAUUUGGAGAGAGAGCAAGAAGGGAAGGGGCAGAGAGAGGAAGAGACAGAAUCCCAAGGAGUCUCUCCACAGUCUCUGCAGAGCUCAGUUGUGGGGCUUGAACUCACAAACCCAUGAGAUCAUGACGUGAGCUGAGAUCAAGAUCCGAAAGCUUAGCCAACUAAGCCACCCAGGCACCCCUCAACGUUGAUCUUUUGAAUUACUCACUUUGGAUGAAACCAGUUGCUAUGCUGUGGUCAAGCAGUUCUGUGAAAAGGAACUGAGAUCUCCCAUGAAGAGCCAGCACCAACCAAAUGAACAACUUGGAAGUAGAUUUGCAACCAGGGUCAAGCCUUCAGAUGACGUCAGCCCCAAAUAUGGACAUCUGACGGUAACUUCACGAGAGACCCCAAGCCAGAACUGCCCAGCCAAGCCACACCUAAAUUCCUGACCCACAGAAAUACAUGCGAGAAUAAAUGAUUACAGUUGUGUUAAGCCACUAAAUUUUGAAGCAAUUUAAUAUGUAGAACUAGAUCAUUUAUACAAUUGGGAUCAGAACUCAGAUUUGUCUGACCUGAGAACCAUAUCUCUUACUAUUUUUCCCCCCUUACUACCUAUGUUAUGAAAUAGCUUGUCUUGCUGAGUGUGACUCAAACAGUAGCCCCAGGAGUAAAGUAUGGAAUCCAGGAGAGUAUUUGAUUCUAAAACCACUCAAUAUGCCCCAGUUAGAAAGCUAACAAUUGUAGCUUCAACCUUCAACUCCAAAUAAAAGGUUGUUUUCCUAA